GGCGGCCUACGGGGGGCAGCAGUAGGGAAUCUUCCACAAUGGGCGAAAGCCUGAUGGAGCAACGCCGCGUGGGUGAAGAAGGUCUUCGGAUCGUAAAACCCUGUUGUUAGAGAAGAAAGUGCGUGAGAGUAACUGUUCACGUUUCGACGGUAUCUAACCAGAGAGCCACGGCUAACUACGUGCCAGCAGCCGCGGUAAUACGUAGGUGGCAAGCGUUAUCCGGAUUUAUUGGGCGUAAAGGGAACGCAGGCGGUCUUUUAAGUCUGAUGUGAAGGCCUCGGGCUUAACCGGAGUAGUGAAUUGGA
rnacentral:rRNA from 1 species